AUACAUUUAUCUCUUCGCGUACCACAAAAGUUUCUCUAAACCCUUUGAGCCAUUAACGUCAACAAUACUAAUUCCUAAAUUAUGCUUUUUUGAGUUUUUAAUUAACCCACUACAAAAGGCAUUGAACAAAGAUGAUGAAACAUGAAAGGAACAAACCAAAGGAGUUCAUGACAAUAACUAUGGUGAUGUGUUCAUGACAAGAGGAAGAAAGAAAAGAGGGUAGAAGAGAGAGAGACGAAAUAGAAGAGAGAAAGAAAUUCACUUUUAAUUUGAUUUUGAACGGUUUUUUAAGUCACUGCAAAUUACAUUAUCAAAUAUUUAACGAAUAUGUCAUUACUUAAUUGACAAUAAAGAUUUAAAAUAAAAAUGUUCAAAUAUCAGAAAACAAAUACCAAAAAAAAAUUUAUCAAGAAAAAAUUCAACUAUAUAUUAAAAAUCAAAAACAUAUUAAGUCUUUAUUUUAUUUCAAUACUUUAUGCUGUCUACCAACACAAAUCCAAAACACACAAGAUUUUUUUUUUUGUCAAACACACUAAGGACCGUGAAACCCAAACCGAAAAGUUGGCAUUCUCCGGUGGCCCAGUCAAUCUGAAAUGAAUAACCGGUAACCACAACACACGAUUUGGUUAUGAAUUCGGGUUCUCUUAUGAAUGUGGACUUUUCAGUAAUGAUACUUUCUUAUCAGAGUGCCUGCUCCAAUUUAAAUUUAACAAAAAUAAUUUGAAUUUUUCGAAAUAAAAAUACAAUUCAUUUUGUAAUAAAAAAUGAAAGCUUUGAAUAAUCGUAAUUAGUGGAGGCGUCCAUCCAUGUAUUGACGUUGUUCAGCCAUCUGAAGUUGUAAUGCAUCAUUUUGAGCAAGUUGAGCACGGAUGGCAGCAUCAUGGGCUUGCAGGGAUUGAUCAAUGAGUGCUUGAUGAUGAGGACCAGAAAGCUACAAGAGGAGCUUAAAGUGGAGCCAAAAUCGUAGAAUUUAUGUAAUUUGACCUUAAAUUGGACAAAUGACAUUUACGAAAUACUAUUAAAUAUUAAUUUCAUUCAAUUACUUAAAAUGAAUGUUAUUUUUUUUAUAAUUAUUAUAUAAUAAAUGGAUGUUAGUAAAUACUUUCUACUCUAUCCUUUAAGGAUGCAAUUUUGAAAUUGAAAUUGUCUCUUACUAUCUCUUUCUUCUCUAGACAUGUGACAUAUAUUUUUUUUUAAUCACAGUUAUUAAGGUCUUUGGUUUUCCAUAAGCUUUUUUAUUUAAUUCAAUUAUAGAAUUAAUUUUUUAUUUAAUACUUAGUCACCCUUAAAAAAUUUCGUCAUUUAUUAGUGUCAUUCAGUAUUAAAGAAGAUUCACAUUGUUAUUACUUAAUUUGGAAGCUUUCCUUUCGUGGUAAUUUUUUCCUUUUCUUGUUCCCACACAUAUUAAUUCUCUUAAAUAUAUUUUUUUAAAUUUUAUGCUAGUUUACCUGAUUAUUAUACUGUCAAAUUAAACUCUUUCAUAUUUUUAUUUUAAUUUAUAUGAAAAAUUUAUUCUUCUUUCCUAAAUCUCAAUUUUUUUAUUUUCUUUUUUAUCUAAUCAUAAAUAUAUUUCCAAUUUUUUUUAUCUAUGAUUUUUUUUAAUUAUUUUUUAUUUUCCUUUCUUAAAAAAUAAAUAAGAUAUGAUACUUACUCAAUAAUGAUUGGUUAAAUUGAAAAGGCUUUACCAAACCAACAACCACAUCCCGAGGCUCAGUCUUACAAUAAUAUACGAGAGCAUACAUAGUUAAAUUAAAUAUACCAACAAAAUAAUAUGAUUUUUUAUUGAAAAAAAAUGUAAGAAAGAGGAUGAUAUCUCUCAAUCCCAUUAAAUAGAGCUUUAUUGGUACUUUGAGGAAAUAAUUUGAGACUUAAACGAUUGCUACACAAAUCUAAAUUAUAAACAAUUUUAUACAAUCAUAUUUACUGAAACUAACAAUAGGAGUUAAGGGAUCAAUCUCUUUGAGAAAGAGGAUGCUACCAAGUAAGAUUUUGAAUAUAUUUAAGUAUAUAUUCAGCUCCUAGGAUAAAACUUUGCUUAUAAGCUUCUAAUUAGUUUUUAACUUUUCAGCUCUAGCUAAUAUUUUAAUUAUAAGCUUUUAGCUAACUUAUAAACUAAUUUUACUAAAUACAUACAAUUAACUAAUUUUAUUAGCUAAAGUAAUAUUGUUUUUGCAAGUAAUAGUUCCCAUUUAACCAGAUGUUGGAGGAAAAAGGAGAAAUUGCAGACACAAGACAAACGUGUAACCCCUAAAUUAUGAGCAUUCGUAGUACGUACUGAUCCACUGUAGUUUUUUCAGGCGCAUAAAUUAUCCAUCCAAAUUCAUAAUAUUAAAAAAAAGAUCGAACUCUUUAUAUAAGAAACUCUACAAUGUUCCAUCACAUCUCUCGUUGACAGGUUGGGGGAUGUUGUGACGGAUUGACGUUACACUGGAUUCCAUGGGAUACCAAGCAAAGAAUCGCCAUAAUUAGCCAUCGUUUUCAUCACCCGUUUUACUGUUGUUAUGUUUAAAUCUACAAAGUAUAUAGAAAACCCUGUUAACAGUCAUAGACUACCCUUAUUUAACAUGCUGUUCAAGUCCAGGGUGAAAAGGUUAAAUAGACUUUACCCAAAAGGAAAAAAAGAGAGAGAGAGAGAGAGUGAAGUAGGGACAAGGAACGUGGAGUCCCGAAUUUGUUGGCUGAGGGGAAUGGACUGAAGAGUGAAGAGUGAAGAGUGAAGAGUGAAGUUACGACGCUACGAUAUGAUAUGAUUCAAACUCUGCAUGUAUGGUACUUUGAUAUGACGUUUCAAGCACCUCUCUCUCUCUCUCUCUGGUUGUCUUUCUCUGUGGACUUUUACUAACAGCCACAAGAUCCCAGCGCAUUCCCCCCCAACUCUUCAAUUCUAUAUACCAAUUUGGUGCCUUCUGUUACCAAUCUUAUCAUUGCAUUAUUUCAUUUCCAUUUUAGAUUUUUUUUAAUGAAGGUAUAGUAAUUAAUAAUUAAUUAAUUAUAUAAAAACCCAUGUUGGCUUCAACAAAAGCUAAUCAUUUCGUAGAAAUCAUUAGGGUCAGUCUAAACAUAGUAUUUGAUCUGUCCAUCAUGAAGGACACAACAAAAGUGGUAGCACCAUCAUGCGAGUCAUAAAGCUGAUCAAUGACAGGUUCUAAAGCUUCCCCAAACCUUCAAUAUAUAUUAUAUGAUUAUAUUAAUUCUUACCAACUCUAUAAAAUCUUAAACACAUGACCAUUAAAUCAUGAAAACAGUGAUAAAUUUCCGUGCACUUUGGUAAAUAACUAUCAACCGUAUCGUGGAUAAGAAGUUUUCAUAAAAUUGAUUGGAGCCUCUCAGCAAUUUGCACGAGUGGAGGGGGGAAAGGGAAAGGGUAAAGAUACCUCGUGGAUCCAUGAACACCCGUCACCUCACUCUAAUCUUUUUCACUGGGGCCAUUACUUAAUUUGUUACCGGAACUACGUACGUACACAUCAUACCAUACAAUACAAGUGUGGCUUAAAUGCUUAAUUAAUAUUGUACCUAUGAAUGAACUGGCUUAUGAUAUGGUAGUUAUUAGUGGGUUUAUUAAAAAAAAAAGUUAUCAUUUUAUGUGACUUUUGUUUUUAUAUUUUUUAUAUCCACGGAAAAUGUCAAAUAUUCCUGGAUGGGAAAAACAAAAAAAAUAUUAGAAUAAUGAUCAGUGCACAGAUACUUCUUUACUCUAACGGUCAGUUAUGUAUCAUGGAAACGGUGAGGAAGAGAAGAAAUGGCAUAGAAAUAGCAGAAAAAUUGAAAAUUUGGGUCGGUUGGCAGCUUUAAAAUACAGAAGAAGAAAAAUUAAAAUGUUGGAUUUCACGUAUUUUAAUUUCUUCUAAGAAGUGUAAAAUUAAACUGUGGCAUGCAUUUCUUGCAAAAAAUAACCUUAAUUUUGUUCAUAAUCAAAUUAGUGCUAAAAAUAUAUUUUCAUAAGUACAAAUACAUCAAUUGAUUUUCCUAUCAAGCACAACUAAUAGCAAGAAUUUGAAAACCAAAUGUUUUAAUUAUGUAAAAUAUUUUUCUUAUUUUUCUCUUUCUUAUAUUUUUAUUUAUUUAUUUAUCUCACACCAAAUAUCCUAUCUCAUAUUUAUUAAUUUCUACUCACUCUAUUUCUCUUAUCCCUAACUAUAUAUUUUUAUCCAUUCUAUUUGUUAUUUAUUUCUUUCCUUAUAUCCUAAACACUUUAUUAACCCUUAUUAUUUCUUUCAUAUAAUUCUUUUUAUCACAUCAUAUAAUCUAUUAUAAUAUUUUACCUCUUAUCUCUCUCUCACUAGGUGUCAUUUAAAUGAGGUGUUUCCUAAUUUUUUUGAAAAAAGAAAUAAACAUGCACUUUCUUUUUCUUUCAUCAUUUUCUCUAUUUUUGUUUUUUUCUAUAUUAUCACAUUUAUCACUUUCAAUUUUUUUUAAAAUCUCUUUUUCUUCUAAUCUAAAAUAAGUGUGGAAAUAAUAAUAUAAAAUAAUCAUAAUUCUCAUUAAGGUUAAUUACAAAGAGAGAAUGACAAGGUUAGAACAUGUGUUGGAACUUGGGAAAAAAAAAAUCUACACGUACACCUUUCUUAAACGAACAUUCUGUCGGUAUUAAUUAAACCAAUGUCGUACAAUCCUGGCAGAUCAUAGAUAUUGAAUCGUGGAAUACAAAUUACUGCUGCUUCUCGGUUAUGUUUAUAGAGAGAUAUAUAGAAACCAAAACCAGAAAUAAAUGCCAUGACAGGAACAUUUACAAAAUCUGAUAUGCAACACCAAGACGCAAGGAGAUGAUUAAUAAAGUUGAAGACACGAGAAACCAUCAACAGUACUUCCAUAGAGUUCAUGAUAUCAUAUAAACUGCGACUGGGAAAAGAUUGCAUUAAUUAAUUUUUCUUAUUCAAUUUCAGAGCCCACUAAUUGAUCAUCAUGAUCUUGAUCAAGGUUGCAGCGAUCAUUUCCACAAGCCGUGUGACCAUAUCCAAAUGCCUUGAUAUGAUCCUUAAGAGAUCUUUUGUGUUUAAAAUCAGAUCCACAAGAGCAAUACCAGCGUUUCCCACAGUUCUUUUCGUGAGUUCUCCAAUCACCCCUCACAGCAAAUGCUUUGCAACAUUUUCUGCACACGAAAGGCUUUGUCCCAUGCUUUCUCUUGUAGUGAGUUUGAAGGGUUCUGAAGUCUUUGAGUGGUUUUGCUCUUGGAUGGUCUAUGUUGUUCUUGCAUCCAGGUGCACAGCAAUAGCAAGGGAGUCUUAGCAUUGCUGUUGGUUGUGUUCCCCUUAGAGACUCUGGUCCCUUCCUAUAUUGAGAUCCAUGCCCCCACAUAUGCAUCUGUGUAGAUUUUUGCACCAAUAUUAUUAUCACGUAAGAGCAUAGAAUAAUUAGAUGAAGAAUUUGGAAGCCAUUGACACACUCACACAUACAUGAAUAAAUUAAAUGUUUUCUAUAUACUAUCUAUACUAUCGCUGGUCUUAUUUAUAAAAACAAGUUGUAGUGUAGGAUCAGAUGUAGUAUUAGUUUUGUCCAACGAAUUACUUCACUGUGAAAAAAAAACUUCAAACUAGGUGUUUAAUCUGUUGCAUGUAGUUUUGUAAGGAUUUUGAAUAUGAAUUACAUUACUAAAUAUGUCGGCCAACUGCCAAGUUUUUGGGUUGGAAUUUAAAGGAGAAAGGAGAGAAAGAUUAAUGUUUUAUUUUAAAUGAACAGAUUUAUAUAAUUAGAAAAACAAAUCAAUCAAUCAAUAACAAGUAAAGUUUAUAUUAAUUAUCGUUUAAUUUCUUUUAUUAUAAAAAAUGAUUAAAUUAGAGAAUGAAGUAUUAAUUAAAAAAAAUAAUUCUUGUCCUCUCUUUACAAAGCUUAACUCCCAAAUAGUAUGCUAACUAGGAACUGCUUCCUUUUGAAUAACUUUUAAUACUUGUUCAUCAACCACGCUCUCUGGAAUUAAAGAAAUAGGUUACAGUGUAGGGCAUCCUGUUAAAGAAAAAGUUCGGGAGCCCAACAAGAGAAUAUUUGUACAGUUAUUUAUAUUAUAUUCAUUUUUGUGAAACUCAAUUGAUGUUGUUUCAUUUUGUGCCUCCCUUGUCGGUGUCUUUUUGUUUUAUGGUAUAAACUACUUAAUUAACGUAUGAGGGGGGAAAAAACUUCAUUUAGAGAACGUAAGCUUGCUAUUCUUUUUUUACUUAUAAAACUUAGAAGGUGGAAAAAGGGAUAUAAUUGAGCCAUGUAUUGCGAUACUGAUCUUCCCAGAUGUAGUGAGAGUUUUCAUUUUUAUCUGAAGAAUAAAAGGGGGUGAUAGAACAAGUAGUUUGGAGCUCAGAUAAAAUGAAAGGAAAUGCAAUAAUAUUAAGUGGGAGAAAACCCUAAAAUAUUAAUAUAUAUCCAUACUCAUUACUCAGACAAAUCUCCCUCCUUUGAUGAAUUUAAUUAAGGCAACAUUACAGAUGAAAUUUUGAAGUGAUACUAUACAUAAGAAUAUUUAUGAAGGGUUCAACUAAAGGACUAGCAUAAAUAAGCUAUUUCUUUUUGGAUAAAUUUUCUGAAAACGAGAUCUGGGAAAGUAGGUAUAGGAGAAUAUGAAAAAACAGGAAAAAGGGAAAGAUAUUCUCUUUCCUUCUACUACUAUAAUUCUCUUCACCUGUAAUUAUUACUAUAUUGUUUUAAUUAUUUUAUUAUUCUCCUCGAUCGAGGGGAAUUGAUCAUCAAAAUGACCAAAGGUGACAAACCUGCAUGUUGUUGUAUCUGUUGAACGUCUUGAAACAAAGGGGGCAUGGGAACUGUGUUGGACCAAUCAGAAUCUGUGAGGAAGUAGGGAUCCAAUAUUGUCCUCUGUUAAUUCUAUUUGACAGAAGAAGCCCCGAAGAAUCAGUGAGUACUACUUCUUCUUCUUCUUCUUCUUUGUCUGAAGAGGCCUCUGUUGAUGAGUAUAGGCUUGAAGAAGCUAAAUCACUCGUGCUUGGAAGCCCUAAGUGUAAGGCCACAGUCACUGCAGCAUCUUCUUCAUCCAAGCAGCUAGAUGAUGAACUCAGCUCUUUCUUUUUCUUGUCCACUUCCAUGGCACUGAAUGAAGAUUCAAGAUCUUCUUCUUCUACUUCAUGUCUUGGAUGAAGGAGGGGAAGGGCUUUUCCUUCAGGAGGAGGAGAGGGUUGGAACUGAUGACGAGUAGAAGAUAUGACACUUGUGUAGUUAUUAUUAUGAUAAUUUGAAGGAAAAUAGAAUGGUGGAUUGAUGGAAGGAGAAGGAGAAGGAGAAGAGAGAAGACAUGGUGAAUUGAGGUCCAACCAAAAGUUAAGGUCAUUGGAGGUGUAGGAAUUGGUCAUGAUGAGGGGGUACUGGAAAGAAAAAGGGUAUAUGAUCAGAUGUAGAAAGGGUUAGGUUAUUAAUUAUAGACAAGUGAGUGCACAGAAAGGAAAUAAAGGGAAGGGGGGUAAUGGAGGGAGGAGGAAGGGAGGUAAAGGUGGGAAGAAGAUAGUUUGUGAUAUUAACAAGCAAAAUAUAGCUAGCCAAAAUGAAAGAGUUAGGUGAAGGCUUAAAGGAUGUGAAGAAAUUAAUUCAAUGUUGGUAAAGCAAGACCAAUAAAGUUGAGGGAGACAAGAAAUCACUUGGGAAAAGGUAGAGCAGGUUCAAUAUAAAAUAUUUAUGGAAAUUAUUGUUUGGUGUUAUAAUAUGCACUUAUCAUUUAGUGUUUAUAAUGAUGCUUCGUACGUUAUAUUAUAUAUAAUAAUAAUAAUUUUUUUUAGAGAAUAUAAAGAAUUAAAACUGUAGUAUAUAUAUAUAUAUAUAUAUAUAUAUAUAUAUGUGCAUUUAAUAUUUUCUUAAAAUUUUAAUAAAAUGAUAAAUAAAUAGAAAUAUAAUUUUUUUUCUUAAAACUAAUUAAGAUAUAAAAAGAAGCAGCAUAUGCUGAUAUGUGUAUCUCUUGCAAAAUCUCUCUCACUCUCUUUUUUUUCUAAAAAAAUAUUACUAAAUAUUUUCUAUUUGAUCAGUUUUAAAACAUAAAUAUAUUUCUGACAUUAGAAUUACACUUGUCAAAUGAUAAUUAUAACUAAUUCUUCUUGAUUUUAUUUUAGCUAAUUCUUCUUGAUUUUAUUUUAGAAAAUAAUAUGUUCACCAACCCACAUACGGGAAUAAAAUUAAUGUCACGAAGUCAGUCAUUGAAGUUGAAAUUGUGAGACUACUACUUACUUAUCCUUGAGCUACCCAACUAACCACAAUCCCCGUAUUCACACAAGGAAACUACCUUGUAGCCCCAUUGGGCAGAAACAAUAGUUAUCAGGACAAUUUGUACAGUGUUUUUUAGUCACACUACUUGAAAAAUAGUCAUCGUUUUAAAUUUCUUGAAGAGAGAGAAUUAUAAUAAAAAAAAUAUAAUCUUCAUAUUUAUAAUUAUCUUCAACAUUAUAUUUAGCAAAGUACUUGUUGCGAGUUCUACAUUUGAGUCAUUAAUUGUUUUAUAAAGUGAUUCUUAAAAGAACCUUUCGAAUAUAUCUAAUCAAAUUUUAACAUGAUAUCAAAGCAGGUUUUAUUCGAUGGUGUGGAUAGUGCCGUAUCAUUGUAUAAUAUAAUUUUUUUUUGGACUCAUCAUAAUACAACGUGACCGCAAUUUAAAACAUGACUCAUACCAGUAAGGGUGCCGCCUUUAAAAUAUUGAAUUAAUUUAAGAAUUUUGAAUAACAAGAACCAGUUGAGCCUUGGCAAUUAUUUCCGAGGAAAACAUAAUAUCUGCUUGUUUGACAUACUACUACUAUUUGAUUGUGAUUUUAUGUAUCUAUCCCUCGGGAAACAAAUGCUUUUUUGGAUUUGAACCAGCAAUUGCUUUGGCUUGCACGCUGUGGUCGACUUGGCUCCUCAAAGCGCGCAGAUGCUGUCGGUGUCUCCUAUACUGCUUUCACCUCUUGCAUGCAAAUGUUGACUGUUCCAUCUACCAUGUCUGCUUCCUUCCUCACAACACUCGUGAACAGUUUUGGAAAUCAGAAUUAUAUUAAGAAUCAAUUACGGUUAAGAACACUCUUUCUUUAAUUUUUUUUUUUUUCCACAUGUCUUCUUUCAAAAACAAUCAUGUUGAGAUAUCACCAGAUACUAAAUAUAAAUAUCUCUAUCAAGAGAGAUUCAAACCUUGAUUUAUUAAGUUGUGAAAGACUCUCUUAUGCUAGACCAAUGUCCGUUGAUUCCUACACUUUGUAUAUACUUUGUACAUGUCAUUAUAAGUUGGUUUGAUUUUUUGUAUGAAUUAACAAGGAAACUCUGCUGGAAGAGUUGGUCAUAUUAUGUUGUAGAUAUGGAUACAAAUUGGGUUUAUGCUUAAUUCAAUUUUAAAAACUAAUUCUUGCGGUGAGUGAGGUUGUUCUCCAAUUUUAGAUUAUAUAUAUAUAAGAAAUUAUUAGAUAAUUUAAGAUUAUAAUGUGUUUAAUUAUAUUUUUGGCUAAUUUUUGCAUGAUACAUAUACUGCAAGUUUUUUAAUUUGUGAAAAAAAUUCAAUAACAUUCAAAGGUUGAAAUUAUCCUCAUUUGAUAAUUCUUACUGUAUAAGACUUCAAAUAAUAUUUUUAAAUGUUAAAAACUAAUAGACUUGUACUUAUUUCAAGAAUUAAUUUGGUAGUAGUAUAUUGCUUAUUUAAAACUUCAUUUUCGAAAUAUUAGGACAAACCUAUUUAAUUAAGUGCAAUACUAUACGUUCUUUGGUGUUUUAAUUAGUUACAGUUUUAUUUUAAUAACUCUUUCCAUAAAAGAACAACAUCAAAGGUCGCCACCUUACUUAAGUGAUCUUCAAUUUUAGUCGGAAACAAGUACUAAGGGUAACUGGAUAAGGGUCUCUUUGGUAGUGAGGAAAAAAAUAUGAAUACAAAUAAAAAAAAGAGUUGAAAUAAGUGAGAAAUAAAGUAAAAAUUAAAAAUAUUUAAUUGAAGAGAAAUAGAGAAUAGAUGAGAAGUAUAAAAAAGAAGAGAAGAGACGAGAGAGAUAGAAAGAUAGAUAAAACAUGUGAAAAUAAUACAAUAAACCCUAUUAUUUUUAAAAUUAUUUUCCCCUUAUUUUUUCUUCAACAAACAAUUCAUAUUAAUUUUACCUUCUCUGUCCCUCUCUUACUUCUCUCCUACCAAACAAGGACAAACGUGUAGAGUAUUAUAGGAAUGUAUUCGAUAAAACACUUUAAUUACUUAUAAGUUAUUUUUACGUAAAAAUAACUUAUAAGAUAUUUUGAUUAAUAAGUUAAUUUGAUAUAAAAAAAUUAUUAUUUGAUACACAAAUUUAUUUAAGUAUUUUAUAGCUUAAGAAAAUAAAUCACAGUCAAUGGAGAGGCCCAAAGGGGCUAUUUACUGGGCUUCAAGGCUAGGCCCGUCUAACUCGAACAUAACUGAAGUCAGAAUAUUGAACAAAAUUUGUACUGAACGACUUGAGUCACAAGAAACGUUCAAGUCCAACUAAGCUUUUUUCUUUGAUUAAAUUGGAUUAAAUUAUAAUUUUUAUCCUUUUAGUUUUCUAAAUUUAUGAUUUUGAUCCCUUUAAUUUUUAGUUGUAAUAUUUAAUCCUCUUAAUUUUAUAAAUUUGAGAUUUUGGUCUCUUUAAUAAAUUAUUAACUGAUAAUUGUGAUUACAAGAGAUAUGUAAUUAAUUAUAAAUUAAAUAAAAAAUUAUAAAUUAUUUUUUUUAAUAAAAAAUUAUUAAUCCUAAUGUAAUGCUAGUGUUGGUAGAGUCACAUGAGAUAGUAAAAGUAGAAGAGAUGUUUGCAGAGAAGAAAAGAGAUACAAUGUUAUGUAAAUAUUUUUUUUAGUUUUUUAAUAAUUAAUAAUUUUGAUUAAUUUAUAAUUAACGUAAUAACUCAAUUAAUCAGAAUUAUUUGUUAAUGAUAUGUUAGAAUGAUCAAAAUCAACCAUUUAUAAGAUUAGGAAAUUAAAUGUUAUAAUUAAAAUUUAGGAAAACUAAAAUGAUGAAUUUGAGAAAUUAAGGAAAUCAAAAUUACUGUUUAGUUGCCUUCUUUUUCCAGCUUUCUCCAUCUAGGUAUAAUCUUCCUACAACAAAAAUUAAAGCAAAUAAUACAAAAUCAAAUCAUAGAUUCUCAUGCAAGAAUCAAAGCCAAAAACUACCGACCAACAUCUCUGCUGAAUGCUAAUAUAAAUAUAUAUACCACUCGCCUCAGCAUUAAAAUGAGGAAAAAUAGUUUCACAAAAAAAAAUGAUGAAAAUAGUUCUUUCCUCUCCUCUACUACUCUUUCAUUUCAAUUCAAAUCCUUUUGUGACUUGCUCAAAAUUCGUACCCUACGGCUCUGAUAAGUGGAAAACAGUGAAACAUUGGUUCUAUUCUAUUUCUUAUUGAUCUGUUAGUUUCUUCUUGUUAACAAUAUUAGUGGAAUGGUGGUUGUUGAAUAAUUUACAAUAUAUAAUAUAUACUAGGUGUUGCAGACGAGUUAUGUAUAUGGAUACUAUUACUCAGAGUCACACUAACCAUUGGGUUAUUAUGAUCAUCAGCACUAUAUAUUUGACACGAUAGUGAUAUUGUGGAAAGAGAUCUAUUUAUAUGGGCCAUGUUUUUUUGUUAAAAGAAUGGUGGAGCCUAACGAUGAAGUUGGAGUUAAUUGGGUACGUUAGGUGUGUGUUUGAAUUUUCGUUUCAACACCUCAAACAGUUGUUUAUUUUAAUUCAUCCAAAGAGUGAUUUUUUCGUUUGGAUACAUUGAAAUAUGUACGGUUAUUUAAACACACUCUAAGCAUUUAUGAUAACUAAGAAAGACUAAAGAUAGAGAGUUGCUUCCUAUACCUUAAUUUUAAGCUUUCGGAUAGAGUAAUCCAGAAUGUAAGUUUAGAUUUCGAUGCAGGAAACAAUUACGUGCUUUUAUUUAUUUUGGAGAUAAUGUCACCAUGGAAGUUUGGACUCUUAUACGAGCUACGAGACACCAUGUUCAAAAAUCUCCGCCGGUUCAUUACCCAUUUAAUAUUUAAUCAUUUGUAAAGACAUACAGUAGUAAACUAAAUAUAAAAAAUAUCCCAAAAAAUUCUUGAUGAAAGACCACGAGCUACUGAUGUGGAUUCAUGUCAAGCCAUUUACUUUUUUGAAUGUCGUUAGACAUGUGAUGUGUCACGUUUAUGCAAAUGAUAUUAUGAGGUCUCUUUUGUUGUGAACAAACAAGUAGUGAAUCUUUAGAGUUUGGUCAUGACGAGUCCUUUGGCGUUGCAGACAAAAAUGAAUGUGAGGGGCUUAUAUUUAUAAUGAUACUUUUCUUUCCUCACUUCACUUGCACGCCGGGUUUUUGUACCAUUCGCUUCUCAAUUAUGUUAUGCGUGAUUCCCUCACAUGCAUGACAGUCUUUUAAGUAUGUGUCUUUUCUAAAACUAACAAUAUCUCUUUACAACUUUCUUUAGUUAAUAAUAAUAAGAUCUAGCUCAAUUGGUUAAGCAUGAUCUUUGAGUGUUGUAAACCUCCUAAUAAUGUGUUCAAUUGUGUAAGAUUAUUUUAAAUCCUCAAUAGGUAUCUUUUUUUCAUUUAAAAUUAUACAAAAAUUAAAAUAAAAAAGAAAUAUUAUCAGGCCCAAAAAUUAGAUUUGACCCAGAUUAGUAAAAAAAAGUUGUAUCUGAAUUUGGGUGAAAUUCAAGCCCAGAUCGAGUGAACCCACCCACUUAAAAUUGUGAUCCAUUAAACCUAAAUUAUUAUUAUUAUUAUUAAAUAUCCUAAUUGAAAGUGUCGAAUAACGAUGCACAGCUCUGAUACCAUAUUAAAUUUUAUAGUGCAGCAAAGGCAUCCGAAAGGUCCCCUUAAAAACCGAUUAAUAAGGGGGUGGUUUACCCAGCUAUAUAAGCACUUAUCAUGUUCAUGAAUUAUCCGAUGUGGAACUAUUCUCAACACAUAUAUUAGUAAUCCUAAGACUACCAACACAAUAAACAACUUCAUGUUACAAAAAAAAAAAUGAUAGACAUGUCUUGGACUUUCCUACACUUCUCUUCCCUUUAUUAUUCCUUUUGGAUCGACACUUGUCUAACAACAACCCAAACCAAAGUGUCACGAACAAGGAUAACUCAACGAAUUUGAGUAUAACAAUACUAUGUAAAGGAGCACACAUCUAGACAACUCUAAUGUGUUGAAAUAGAUUACUUCAACAAGUUCAUUUGAAAGAGAGAAAUGUGUUGAAAAAUAUGUAGGAAUCAAAAAGGAAAUGCCAUUAACAAAUAGGAAACUAGUCAGAUAGAAAAGAGAAUGGGUUGAAGAUAUGAAGUUGAGAAAAGAAAAGAGAAAUGUGGAAGUGGUGGCUAGAGAGGAAGGGGUGGUAGUAGUGAGGAAAAAAAAACUCUUAAUAAAGAGAGAAAAAAUUUACCUAAAUUGAAAAAAAAAUCAUUGAAGGUAAAAAGAAAAAAAAAACCUCUCAUGAAAAGAAUGACACUCGAGUUGACAUUGUUUUAUAUUCUUUUCUUAUCUUUUUACUAUUUAAUUGACUAUGUAUUUACUACAAUUUAGAGUUUUGACCUAAAACUUGUUUAACCCAUUAAAGUUUUGAAUUUAAAUUCGUGAUCUCUCUUUCUUUCUUAAUUAUUGGACCAAUUUUAUUUUUUUCUUAAUCCGGUGAAGUAUUAAUUGAAAAUGUGUUAGAAUAUUAGAAGAAUUUGAUUUGAUUUGGAUUCUACUUUUUACCAAUCAUUGUCUAAUCCUACUUAAUCUAACUUAUUUUUAAAAUAUUUUUCCCCCAAGAUGCCUAAAACUUUUAAAAAUAAUGAUUAUUUUCUUGGAAGAGGAAAACUACAUCCAAACACAUUCUUUCUCCUUAAACCUCCACACUCCACUCUUUGUUGUGUUCCUUAGCUCUUUUCCUUUUUUUUUUCAUUUAUCAAAAAAACAAAAACGAUAGUUGCUCUGGAUAAAAUUGUAUUUUCAUCACCAUAGCCUCACCUGGUAAGAGACCAGGUGUAGAACAAAAUUGUUGUAUUUCGUGGGAAAAUGGAAAGCAUGCAUGAUGCAUAGAUUUUGUUGUUGGUUAAUUGCUAACUAACGAUAACUGAUACCAACUUAAUCGGAUCAGUUUUGUUUGGUCAUCCUUCUUCAACCAUAUUUAUCUUUCACAUGAUUCAUUUUCUAAACAUUGGCCAACAACUAAGGUUGUCCCUUUCAAAGAACCCCAUGGAUUUGGUGGUCUCCUUCGUGUGGAAACCCCUUUCCGCAUCUAAUUUUUCUCAUGGCUGCGUCUGAUCUCUUUAUUAAAAAUCAAACAAAAGCAUAUUUCUAUCCAUUUCUCUUUGAUACUUCCCUUAUUCAGCAAGCAAGAAUUACAUUAAUUUUACUUAAUUUGUUUUAUUUCAUAUAGCUAGUUAUUAUUAAUUAUUAAUUCCCCCCUCUUAUCUUCUCACUUGUUUAUCAGUUUUAAACGUUAACUUACAUGAAGAAAACAUACGAAACUAACACUUCCCUCGAAUAUAAUUUACUUCGUUUAUAUUAGAUGGAUAAAAUAAAAAUAAACAAUAUAAUAUAAGAAAGAAAUCUUCCUUUUCCAGACAUUUUUAUAAUAUAAAAAACAACAACUCGAUAUUGCAACUAAUCAUUACAUUUUAUUUCAUUUUUUAUUAAUUUGAACAUACUACUUUUUUUCACUUUUCAGAAAAAUUAUUGCAUAAAAUAAAAAUAACUUUAUUAGCACAAGUUUCCGUAACUAAACAUAUUUUUCUAUUAAAAAUAGUUAUCGCAAUAAAAAUGCAAUAUGUAUUUUAAUAUUAUUUUCUUCUAUUUUUAUGAUAAAAUUUUCAUUACAAUAAUUUUCGACACUUUAACUAAUUCUGUCUUCUAAGUUAAUUAUUAAUUAUUAUAAAAAUUAAUAAAUUUAUUAUUCAUGACAGAUGACAUGUAAAAUUAGUGUAUAAACUGUUUUUUCUAAAAAGAAAAAGAAAGAAACUCAUAUUCAUAGUUUAAAUUUUAUAUAUUAUUAUCCAAUUAUAAUUUGAAAUAUAUUAAAAAAUAUUUUUACACAGAAUAUAAAAAACCUUCAAACUUUAACAAUACUUAAAAAAUUACAUUUACUUUACUUGAUUCUAAAGAGAUAAAUAAGAGUUUAAAUAAAUAAUCUGUCAGAGUGUCAAAUGUGAAAUACAACUGUUUUGCUCAUCUACCUAAAUUUGUUUUAAGUUUUUACUUUUGAUCUGAAAUUAAUACAACCGAACAAAAAGAAAAUCAAUGACACCAAAAUUUGAAUACCGUUAAUCGUGUUCUCCAGUUAUUAUUAUCGGUAGGAAACAAAAAAGAAAAUAAAAAUCCGUAACGUUUGGUGAAAAGGUGCGAUGCAGGUGAUCAUGGUCUAUCUAACGGAGUUUGCGUGUAGGUGAAACCAGCUCCAGCGCAACUGCGUAAAGGUAGAGAGAGAGAGUGAAAUGAGUGAGUGAGUUACAAAAUGAAGAGUGACGAAGCCAUUUUCGCCAUUAUCACUCCUCUCGCACCAAAAGCGAUGAAGCUCUAGGUCAGUCUCACUUCCUUCAAUUUCACCUUUCGAAUCUUAAUCCUUCUCUCUCUCUCUCUCUCUCUGCUUCUUCAUCUCGUUCCUUUUUUUUAUAUAUACAUAUAUAUAUAAAUAUAUCAUUUGCCAUUGUCGAUCUUCGCAGUUGCUGCUUUUCUCGUUUUGAUCCGUACAUUUUCCCUCUGCCGUUGCGAUCCCCGAAGCUGCGAGAUUCUUCUGCCUCGAUUGCGUUCUUCAUGUGAUUCUGCUUCUCUCUCUAACCAAGUAUUCUACUCAUUCGGUUUGUGCCUUGUUUGGUUUCCAAAAAUAGAAAAUAAAAAAAAUAUAACUAUAAGAUUUAUAGUUUGUUGAGGAAUACGCUGUCAUUGCGUUGCUUGAAUUUUUAUAGGCUAAGGCCAAAUCAUUGGUUCAGAUUCGAGGACAAUUUCUCUCUCUCUCGCUUCAAAUUCUCGUCAUUGAAUCUCUGUUUCUUCCAGAGAGAUCUCGCUGAUUUUCUUACUUUCGUGUGAUCUUAGAAUGCACUAUUCUGAUCAGCCGAUAAGAAACACAUUUUGAUAUAAUCAUAUAAGCUUAUUAGAUUGCUAACGAUGGUUAUGGCUGAUUGCUGACUAAAAUUUUGCAAGUUUUGGUAUUAAUGCCUUUUCAAAUUUUUUUGUCAUUUUUCUUUACUGCAUUUGUUAGUCCUUAAAUUUUCUUAUUCUUGAUGUAAAAUGCUAGAUUAGGCAUGCUGGAUUGUUCUUUCUUUUAGAAUGGAUGGACUUGAGCAAUUAAUAAUUGUAGAUAAAACAGCCUUGGUUGAGUUAUUGGCAUUUUCCCUCACAAAAUCUGUGUGAUUUUUUCUUUCUGCAGGUUUACAUUUUAGGAGUAGCUGAAUCAUAUGAGGCAGAUGGUCUUUUGUUAAUUACCUCAACUUAGGUAGACGAAUCUGCCUUGGUGAAUCUGUCAAGAUUGAAGAAUAGAUUUGUAUAUAUUAAUUAAUAAUUAAUGUUAGUGUUGAAGCUUUUUUUGUUUUGUGUGAUUCUGUCUUUGCACCGAUUCUUCUAAUUUAAUUUGCCCUGAAUUCACUCUGCAGACUGCAGAUUACUUGUCUACCAGAAAGGAUUCAAAAUGAGUUGGAACCCACACAUGGAGGUCCAUUACAAUACCAUUAGUUAUCCCUAUAAUACAGCAGGAAGCUUUAUUGAAUAUUUUGAAGGUCUCACCUAUGAACAUGUCAACUUCAUUUUUUCUGGUGCAUCACAUGCUCAGGUGCCUGCAAAAAUUUUCAUUUAUAUCCUGUUUAAGAUACAUUUUAUAUAAAUUUUGGUUUGAUGGAAAUUGUUCUUAUUUUCUUGUUUUCUUAAUGUAAAUCUGUCCUGUACAUUAUUUUCUCUGAAACAUUGUUGUUGUUCUUUUGUUAUUAAUGGUAGGCUACUAGAAGGAUUCAUAAUACCCAAGAAAAGACAUAAAAUUCCAUUUAUGUAUGCAGGAGAGUUCUUACCCUUCAAAUUCAAGCUUUUACAAGUUUGGACUAUCUGAACCAGAGAAUAAUUCAUACUAUCGUUAUAGUCAUGGUUAUGAGGUAAAUCAUCAUGAACCACUGGUGGAUGAGUACAGGAGACCUUCAGAGAACUCAUUGACAAUCAAUGAACAGUCACCAGCAGUAAGCACAGAAUGGGUUGAAGGUGGAAACACUGACACACAAGACAAUUCUAUUGAAUGUAAGUUUGUGAUUUGGUUCAUCUGAAAAUAUUAUUUUGUAAAUUUAUAAAGGCUUUAGCUUAGCCUUGGAACAAUUGAAACAACAAAUGGCCCAUCAUUCACAUUAUAAGAAAUUAAUUACAAUAGUAAUAUCUGGGUGUUGAAAUGCAGUCUUGGGUAUAUAUGUAAGUUCCUAAAAAGGGCAUUGCUGCUCACUUUAUACUGCUACACCUUGAUUCUUUUUGUGAGCAUCAUAAUGUUUGAGAAACUGGUUGUUGUACAAAUUCAGUAUUUAAUUCAGUUAUCCCAAUGCCAUGAUCUUAAGCUCUUUAUAUGAUCCCUAGGAUUAGCAGUAAUUUUGCUGAUCUUUCUAAAACUAGACAAUGGAUAUUUCUCUAAAUUGUAGAUUGACUUAUUUAAUUUUCACUUUUCCUCUACACCUCUUCAUUAAUCUUUACCCUGUCUUUUUGCUAAGAAGGAAAAAAAUGUUGAAGCUUUUAACUAUUGUUGUAAGGAAAAUAUGGACUGGGGUCCUCUGUGGGGACAGAUCUAUAAAACAUCUAAGGGGACCUGGACAUGUAUAAUUGCAUUGAGUAUACGUAUGUAGAAGUCAAAAUAAUGAGCCUGAAAAUUGAAGUGAUAGAAGUGUUUGAGACUUUUAGUAUUAGAGACAAAAGUCAAGUAAACAUUAGUUCAGAACAUAUAAAUUUGAAAUAAACUAAAAAGGCUUGUGCCCCUUUGGAUCUGUCUCUGAUCCUCUAAUAAUGCUUUGUUCAACUCCUUAAAGAAAGAGACAGAGACAAAGCAGUUAAAUGAGUAGUUCCACUUUGGUCAGCCAUCCGAAUAUGGUCCCUUGCACAGAACAAAUAUUUGUAGGACUUUUUUAAGCUUAGUUCCAAAAACAAGGCAGUAGAUUCUGUUAAUUACCUCUUCAUUUAAAUCCAUGCAAACCCCUUUUUGCAGAUUUGAUAGUUUUGAGUCCUUUCACCCUACAUAUAAAAUGAUUGCUCACAGUUUGAACAACUUUGUCUCUUUUCUUUCAGGUCCUCGAAGACAUCAUAGUAAUUCAAAUGAUUAUCAGGUAUUUGCCUUCAAGAUUCCUGGUGCCUGAAAAGAAGUUUAUACAGUUACCUUUAGCCUUCAUCGGUUUGAAUCACAAUAGAUGAUGAUCUAACAAGCCAUUUUGCCAAAUUAUGCAGGUUAUUUGGCAAGACAAUAUUGAUCCCGACAACAUGACCUAUGAGGUUGGAUUGAGUCUCGGAUUUCUUCUCUUUCUAGGCAUUAUAUAAUAUUUCCUUAAGUACAGCUACAAAGUAUUUUGAUUCUUUGGAGUCAAUCUUCUAGAUAUAUACAAUAGUUAAUCUUGAAAUUUUUGACCAAGGGAACAUACUUUUGUUACUCGUUUAUUUUUAUGUCUUUGGUUGUUUUAUGCUUGACAGUACACAUUAUUCUACACGAGAUAGUUUCUCUUGGAAAAUAUUGUUUGCCAAAUCACUUCAUAAAACUGUAACAGUUAAUUAUGUGUAGUUUCUCUUGGAAAAUAUUGUUUGCCAAAUCACUUCAUAAAACUGUAACAGUUAAUUAUGUGUCCUUAUGAGCUAGAUUGCCUUAUAUAUUUUAAUUGCAAUUGGUAAAAUCCAUUAUUUUCCUUCUACUGCUGGUUUAUUAGUUCUGGAGAAAAAUAGAAGUUAACAAGGUAGUAACAUUUGUGUUAGAAAAUUGUAUCAGUUGCACGUGUUUUUCAAUUAAAUGUGUGGCAAAUGGUAGUGUGAUCUUAAAUCAUUAUAGUAUGCGAACAUCUGUAUAGAUAGCAAAUUAGCAAUUAGAAAAGGGUGGAAGUAUAGACUCCUUAUAUUUGAAUGUAUUAUUUUCCAACAUCAAAAUGGUAUCAUUUAUUGCAGGAACUACUUGAAUUGGGUGAAGCUGUUGGAACUCAAAGCCGUGGUCUUACCCAAGAACAGAUCUCCUCGCUUCCAGUGUCAAAGUACAAAUGUGGGUUCUUCUUGAGGAAGAAGUCACGAGAUGAGAGGUAAUAUCUGGGUUUCUGGACACGUUUUUUUAAUUCAAAUGCCGCUUUUCUUCUCCUAUCACUAUUUCUGCUUUUUAUUCUUGAACCUACUUGGUCCAAAUUAAUCUUGAGGAAUUUUAGACUGUUUCUAUUAAGCUUAUGCUAUGGCUUAAAUUUCUAUUAAGCUUAUCAAAGAAUUCUGUCUCGCAUGAUCUGUAAAUGAGAACAAAGUGCGUGUAAAGCAAAAUGAAUCAAGUUUAGUAUUGUUUCUCUUUUGUUCCCUUGUAUAAUAUAAUAUAAUAUAGAAUUGGAAACAAUCCAGAUGGGAAUUAACUUAAAAACUCCGUGUAUUAUUGAUGCUUUGAAGUUAUAACUUGCGUUCUCCCUGCUAAUUUAUUGAUCUGACUUGUCUUUUUGUUUAGAUGUGUGAUUUGCCAGAUGGAAUAUAGAAGAGGGGACAAGCGUAUCACCUUACCAUGUAAACAUGUUUAUCAUGCUAGUUGUGGGAACAAGUGGCUUAGCAUCAAUAAGGCAAGAUAUUUACUAAUUUAUUAUGAGCUCAAUAAGUGCUUUUAGUGCUUAUUUUCACGUUUGCUGAGAUACUUUUCCUUCUGGGCUUAUUUUUUCAGGCUUGCCCUAUAUGUUACACGGAAGUGUUUGCCGACAAGUCAAAACACAAAUAAUCUCAAGCGGAUAAGUUACCUGCAUAUGUUUCUGUUUCUCCUUGAGUGUGGGGGUCUUUCAUAGAAAUACAUUUUUAUUUGACUUUUCCCUUUUCGUAGUGAGGUCAGCCCUGGGUUUAGCAAAAAUACAGAGAGAAUCUAAAGUUUUAUAAAAGGAUAUGGGACAUGUCUCAAUUAUCAUUGUUGUACUGGAGAGGUUGGAUUACGGUUUGUUUUCAUAAUAUCUAAUACAGUGUGCUAUGAUUUCACGUAAUUAGUAUCUCGUGCUGCUGAUACAGUGUUGUUGGAAAGCCAUGUGAACAUGCAUUCGCCUUUGUUUUUAUGAAAAUUUCUUUAGACACUAAGUGCGUUAAGGUCAUUGGACUUUGAAGCACCUCGCAAUUAUUAGCGAUGAGGGUAGAUUUGUUGUAUAAUAGUCCACCGUUUACAUGAGAAAGAAAACUAAAUACUAUCUUGUAGACAAAUAACACUCGGGCACGUUAGACAUUAAACCCUGAUGUUUUUAAGUACAUAAGUGAAGGGAAUAAUCAUUGUUGUCAGCUCCGACAACUUAUGAUUACACAACCAAUCGAGUAUUGAGUAAUUAUUAUUCACGCAAGCAUUGUCUCUCUUCCUUGAUUUUUUCAUUGCUCAUGUUAUGUCUGAACCCUUGGAUUUAUUUGAUAAGUUAAUAUUAAAUUAUGAUUAAAUUUGAUUUAUUUUCUUUUCUCAUUUUUUCUGUCUUACAAAAACAUGUUGAUAAUUUUAUCUAAAUUUUGAGUCAAUUAAGGUAAAGUAAAUUAGAUUUUUCCAUUAAGUUGUUCAACUUAUGCACUCAAUCAUAUUUAGAAAUUCUUGUUUAACUUUUUUUAUUAAUUGAAGUGUAUAAAUUGAUUUUACCUUAUCAGAGAAGUGUGAUUAGGUUUUUUCAAAUUUUCGAUAUUCCUUCAUACUUUAACUAUUAUCAUGAUUAAUUCGUAUUUUCAAUUAUAUGAAAUAAGAUUAGGAGAAUAAAAAAAAUCUUGGCUUGAUUACAUUUUUAGUUCUCAUAGUUUGGUUUUGUCGCAAAUUUUGUUCUCAUUUAUUUUUGCCGAUUGUCUCCAAAGUUUCAAAAUGUUGUCAAUUUUAUUGUUUUGUCAAUUGAUCAUGAGUUAUGUUAGUCAACUAUUCAUGUGACAACAUUAAUUAUUGGCAUCCCACUUUGAUGUUAACCUGAAAAUAAAUGUGCCACUAACAUGACUUGUUGAGAUGACCCAAUAAUAUGACACUAACAUUAUAAUUAGAGGACAAAAUUUGAAACAUUAUGAAAAUAUGAUAAUAAAAUGCGUAACAUGGUUAAAAUAUGAAAACAAAAUUCAAGAAAAUAUUUAAUGAUAAAAAGUGCAAAUUAAAUAAAAAGAUUAAAGAAAAGAAUAAUUUAACUUAAUUAAAUGUAACUUGGUAAAAUUAAUUAUAUGCGGAUAAUAAACAGAGUAAGGCCACAUUAAUGGAAAAACUGAAUAAAAUUAUUUGAGGUGCAUAGCAACGAGGUAUCUUGAUUAUUGAUUAAUGUCUCAACUAAUUUGGUAAAAUUGGGGCCAAAGUUUCUAACAAUGGCAGAGUACUGAGUGAGACUUAUUAUGCUUUGUUACCUAUUUUUACAAAGCCGUCCCAAGCCCGCACGAUAACGUUAUAUCGUCAAUUAAGUGCCUGUUUGAUUGCGGAUCGGCAACGUGAUUUUUCACGUGUAUGUUUUUCCUAUUGGUAGGAAUUGAAGAUGGAUAUAGAAGAUCACAACACCUCACACACUAUAACUUUCACACACAUGAUAUAUAUAUAUAAAUAGACGUGAUUUUUAGGCUUCCAAAGACUUGUUUCCAAACACGUAAAGACUUUGUCUCAUUUUUAUUACAUGAGGCCACACGUUACCUUCUAAGUAUGGGAAUUCUGAAUGUCCCACUCAACCAAAAAUUAGAAAAACGACUCUCCAAAUUUUCUUAACUACUACGAGUUUGGCUACCCCUAACAGUUAGUUUUUACAUGUACUUUAAGAUCCAGAAAAUGGAACUGUUUAACAAUUUCAGGAAGACCCAGCUGAUUUAUUUUUCUUGUCAAAAUUUCUUUCAGCUGAAUCGUAGAUCCCAAAUCGUUUUCGUGUUCAAACUUAAAAGUGGCUCAAUAUGGUUGUUAUAACACGAGGAGUGAUAGUAACUUCACACAAUCCAUAGUUCUUCAAUGAUUUUUUUUUUUCCAGUUUAGAUGACAUGAUAUUCUUUAUUAGUGACAAUCUAGCUCUUUGAGACGGAUAGAAUCACGAUGAUAAAACUUUCCUUUAAAAUAUUUAAUACAAUUAUAUAUUUAGAAUUUGAACUCAAGACGUUGGAACAAUCUCUCGCAAGUUAAUUCAUGUCUUGAUUACCUGAUAUAUUCAAGUGUAAUUUCUUUUCUGCAAAUAUAAUUUCACAUCCUUUCUGAUUUUCUCGUUAGAUUGAGUGGAAAUUUAAUUAAAGGACUUUUUCAACCAUUAUGCUUGUCUUAUAAUCUAAUAAUAUAUUACCCUUAUGACGUAAGGAAUAUUUAAGUCAGCGAGUGCAGCAAAUAGUGCAAACAGCGUUGAGUUCCAAAAUUACACGAUUUUGAUAGUUUAACUAAUGGAUAAUCUAAGAAACAGCCUGGUCUCGCUCUAUUAUGAACUAAAAAUUGUGAUAUUAGUCACCUGCAUGAUACAUACCAAUAGCAUAUGAAAACUAAUUAUCAAACAUUUAAUAUGAUUAAUUAUAAAUAAUUAAUUGAUUAAAUAAAGUGAAAAGAAGUUCUAACUGCAGAAUUUGAUCAUAAGAGGAAAUGUAGAUAGAAAAUAUAUCACAAGAGGGUUUUGAGUAUGACUAAUGCAAUUAAUUUGAUAAAACGUACUGAAAGAAAAACAAUAUUAAGGAAAAUAAUGAGAGAGAGAUCUGGUAGUUAGAAAAGGCUAAUCGCAUGAGGAAGAAACACUCGUCAAGCAAACAAUAUGUAAAUUAAGUAAUCUACGAGUUGUCUUAGUCCUAUUGGAACAUCAACAAAUUAAAAUAUGUAUAUAUAUGUUACAAGUAAACUGUAAACCUAAUAAUUAAAAUAAUAUAACAUUAGAAACAUUUACCCAGUCAAUCUACAUUUCGAGACUCAGCAUUUUUGUGUGUUACAAUAUCCAUGCACGAGCUUUCGAAGUCGGGAAUAUCCACUUACUAUUCUGGCUUAAAAUAAAAUCACAUGGUUGAAAAAAUCCACUGAAGCUAACUUAUGCUGGUGAUCCACUGACCCCCCUGAUAUAUUUGAUCGAAAUAAAAUUGUUUCAAAAAAGAGGUAAAACUUUUACUUUAACUCGAUCUUUGAGUGCUUUUUCUUCUUCCAGGAGUUUACUUAUAGUGUUAUUGAUCGAAAUAACUGUAAAAGAAAUAAUUAAUUACAUUUUAAGUGUCACGCCUUAUAUAUAUUUGCAGAAUUGUAACUAGUGGAUUUAUUUAUUUAUUUUUAUUGAUUUGUAACCAGUAGUGAUUAAAUAUAUAUAUAUAUGGAUUCACAAUCCACUGCACUUCGGUACAUCCGCCCUUAUACUAUGUAAAAAUAUCUAUAACAUUAUUUUAUCUUCACGGAUAAUAUGUUAUUAAGUGAUAUAAGUGCAGAAGUUAAUUGAUGAUAGACGGUAAUUAUGUACCAAGUCAAAAGUUAACAUUUUAAUAAUAUUUUUUCCUCAGUAAAAAAAUAUUUUUUCAAUAUAAUUAUUUGUCAAGUGCAUUACAAUUGACAAGGACACCAGGUAAGUUGAAGCUGUUUAUACACGACAUUUGAUCGUAAAAUAGUAUUAAUAUACACAACUUUUGAUUUUUGGCACAUAAGAUUAUUACGUUUUAGUAUUUUACAGUCCUGAAAUAUUGACAUUUGGAAUAAAGAACCAAAGCUAUAUAUUAUAGUGAAAAGACAGAUUAUAUAAUUAAUUCAGUUAAGUUUAACCAUUUACUUCAAUUCAUAAUCUGUUUCACACAAUGGCUUUUUUGCUCACAAUUAAAUUAAUCACCUGAUUAGACGCGGUAUUCCAAUAUUGAUUAAAUCUAACGAAUACUUGUUCAGCUAUGACAUCACCAACUACCUUAAGCUUAUUGACUUUGUUAAUAUAAAAUGAUGAAAACAAAGGCUAUAGGGGUGCAUAUCAACCUCGAAAUCUGGUCUAAUAUAUUAUAAAACAAUUAAUGCAUUUAACUAAGGAAUCUUCCCAGAUACGAUGGAAGGUACUACUAACACUAUAUAAGGGUUACAAUCCUUACUAUGCUUACCAAGUAAAUUAAGCAUAACUAAACCACAAGUCUAUCUUCCAAGUAAUAAGCUACAGACAGGGAAGCACACUAUGGAAACUUCAGGUGAGCCGAGGCAGUGGUCUCGACUCAUCUAUGCCCUUGUAUUUUGCCUAAUUUCUAGCAUCGUUGUUGCUGAUGAUGAUAAGCCUUACUAUGGAGGCCAACCAUACUACAAAAAUCCAUAUCCAACAACACCACCACCAUAUAAUGCAAAGUAUCCACCCUACUAUUACAAACCACCUCCAUAUAACUAUCAAUCGCCACCUUCUUAUGAACCCAAAUAUCCUCCAUAUUAUUACAAGUCUCCCCCUCCUUAUGAACCGAAGUACCCUCCAUAUGACUACAAAUCUCCCCCUCCUCCUUAUAAGCACAAAUACCCUCCAUAUUACUAUAAAUCUCCACCUCCUUAUGAACCAAAACACCCUCCAUAUUACUACAAAUCCCCUACCUUUCCCUUAUGAGCACAAAUAUCCUCCUUAUUACUACAAAUCCUCCACCUCCUCCCUCCUCCCUAUGUUUAUCCAUCCCCACCACCACCACCUCCAUAUGUUUAUAAGUCACCUCCACCUCCACCUUACGUUUAUUCAUCUCCACCACCACCUCCUUAUGUCUACAAGUCCCCACCACCUCCGCCAUAUGUUUAUCCAUCCCCACCACCACCACCUCCAUAUGUUUAUAAGUCACCUCCACCUCCACCAUAUGUUUAUGCAUCUCCACCACCACCUCCAUAUGUUUAUAAACCUCCAUAUUAUUACACAUCUCCACCACCACCCUAUGUCUACAAGUCACCACCACCACCUCCUUCGUAUGACUACAAGUCCCCACCCCCACCUCCUCCAUAUUAUUAAAAAUCUCCACUGCCACCAUCUCUCUGGCCUCCUCCAGCAUAUGCCUAUAAGUAACAAUUUCCUUCAUUACCUUCACCACUUCCUCCAUAUAUUACUACAAGACUUCACUUCCACAAUUCCCACCAUCACAUCCUCCAGCAUAUGUAACAUUACGUCUACAAAUCACCCCUGCCACCCGUGUAUUAGGCUAGGAGUUAAAGCUAUUUGAAUUUAUCCAUUAAAUAAGAUUCAACAUUGUUGCAGUUUAUUAGCGAGCAUUCGUUAAUAAUAUAUGGUCUGCGCUAUAGCAAGAGCCAUGCAUGUUAUGGAUGUGCCCAUAUGUUGUACUAUUAUAUAUAUAUGUAUCAGUGAGUGUUAAUUCAUAAUUAACUUUGUUUUAAUUUCUUUUAUCAAAUUUCACAGUGUCAUAUUUUGUUAUUGGUUGGUGUUAGGUUUCCAUUUCCUUCUCUGUAUAAGUUCAUAUACUCUUCGAAAUAAAGAUUUUUAUUUGAUCAAAUCCGAUGUCUCCAAAAGGGUUGUCUCUUUGUAUACUCUCAGAAAUACCUUUAUUUAUCAGUACAUGUUUAGACUCUUUCUGUAGUUAAGUGUUUAAUUUUUUAAAAAAUACAUUUUUAUGAAUAAAUUACAUUAGCGACCUAUAUAUAUGUUUUAUAUGUAUUACUUAUACCCCUGUUUGUAAUGUCAUUAACAAUCCUACCGUUAACUAGGAAUAUCAGGCGCAAUCCGCAUAAAAUACGUGCGUGCGAGUUUAAUUUACUCAAUAAAUUAUUAUAUUAAUAAUUCAUUAAAUACUAUAUAAAAUUAAUUAAAACAUUUCAUUAAAAUUAAAUGCUAUAUUAAUAAAAUUAAAUAAAUACUAUCUUAAUACGCUUGUUAUCACAAUUUCAUUAAAAUUGAAAUUCAGCUUAUAAUUAUACUUUUGAGCUUUAAUUCAACUUAUAAGAGUUCAACCUUUUAUUAUAUAUUGAGUAGACUUCAGGGUUAUAUUCGUAAAUGAGAGAUCUAGUAUAUAUUCAUAUGAACUAAAAACAGUGAGGUGUAUGUUUAAUUUAGAUGCAUGUAAUUUUUUUUUAUCAUGAUAAUAUUGGUCUUAAAGUACCUAUUAAUAAAUCUAGUUGUCAUUUUUAAUGGAAUUUUCAAGAAAUUUUUAUAUUUUUUUUAUCUAUAAGAUUUGAACUUGAGAUUUUACUCAAAAAAAACUGAGUCCAGUAUUAGCAACGACUUAUUUAUUUACAUGUAUGUAAUUUGUGAUGAUAAUAAAAAUAUACUAUGUAUCUUAUUUUAAUAAAAAUUACUGUGUAGAAGGCAUACUUUCUAUAUCUGCUCAUAGAGACAAUCGAUGUGAAAGUUUUACACACUUUAACACACCUUCUGUAUCUGUUUAUCGCAAAACCGAUGCAGGGCGUAAUUGUGAAAAUAAUAGAGAGCAAAGUAUUUAAUUAGAGAUUUCAAUAGAUGCAAAUGUUAAGACCUAACAUGUCUUGUUUGCCUAGGAUGUAUAAAUUUUUGGAUUUUUCUUUAUCAAUUAGGUGAAUUUAUCCUACCCACAUGUGUUACACUACUUGCCCCUGAUGCCUCACGAUGACAAGCAUAUUUUACUUACCUAUUUUCCAAAUGUCUUUGCAAAGAUUCAAUAGAUAAAAUGCAUGAAACCUUGAUUCUAGAUGUGUGCUUUAAUGCAUGGGCAUAACAUUAUCAUCCUAUGUCUAGCAAUGGUUUCAUUAUAAUAUCUUUUCCUUUUAGUUCUAUUAGAAGUUAUCCUCUGUCAAGCGCCUAACCUCUAAAACUAAUGCAUGCAUAUCUUCUUUAUAUUUUUAUUAAAAGUAAUUCUCUGUCGAGUAUCUAACCCCUAACAUAAUGUAAAGAUGAGUAAUACAUGAAAUAUAAAUAGAAAAAGAUAAUAGGAUAGAAAACACCUGUUGCAUUGAUAAAUAUGGAAUACAUCGUACAUCUCUUUGACUUUUUAGGCCUGUCAAGCCCUAACUAGGGGUUUAGUCUCUUAUAGUCAUGAGGACCUUACACUAAGAUGGAGAUAUAAGAAUUUGUGGAGGAGAAGGGAUGGAAGAAGGGAAUAAGAAAAUGAUGAGAGAGGAAAGAAUUCUCUAAGGAAGAGUUCUCAGGCUUUGGGUAUGUAUGAGAGUGCUGACUUGGUGCGUUCUUUCCCUUUGACUCUCUUUUUAUAGUUGUUGAGGUGAACUUGAGCCUUGCGUACUCGCGUUUAACACACUCUGCUCGCUUAGCGCAUGUGCCUAUUUUUGCACUUAGUGCGCUCUGCUUGCUUAGCGCAGGUACCCGUUUUUGCGCUUAGCACGCGCUGAGCGCAUCUUGGGCUAGGCGUAAUGCUAAAAUCUUCAUCUUUUUUCGCAUUUCCUGCAUCUUUUUGCUUUUAGUCCCUCCAAUUUUUAUAUAUGCAAGUCGUGAACAGAAAAACACCAAUUCUUAACAAUUAAGUAUGAAUAACUGUUAAAUAAUUGUUUUUAAAGAUAUUUUAACUCUAUUUUCAUAAAAAAAAUAACUCUUAUUUAGCAGUUAUCAAUGAUAAAUUACAACUUAACAAUUUACAUCAAAAAGACAAACAAAGUCUUGAAUAAGAGAAAAUAUGAGAUAAUUGUCUAAAUUCACAUGUCUCAGUUAAAUAUAUAUUUUUGACAAUUAUCAUACGGUGGUACCAAAUUAAAAAAAAAAAAGAAAAGGAAAAGACGUUCUUCGAUAGUUUUUAACUUUCCAGUUCAUCAUAGAAAAAAAGUGGGUUCAAUUACUUUGAUUCUAGUAUAAGAAGCUAAUUGUAUGUAUAUAGACUGUCAAGAGAAAAAAACUUAUAAGUUUCCAGUCUUUCAGAAAAUUUACUUCAAGAUAUCUGUUGAUAUUUUCUACAUGUAUUAUCUUUAUAGCUAUUUAUCAAAUUAAAAAAGACCAGCAUAACGGAGUCCCUUAAAUAUUCAAAUUAAUACCAGACUAUAAACUGAGAUAUUCUUGGGAAAUUAAAAACAAAGUUAUAUUUAACGAAGACUAUAAGACUAUACCGACGUACGACGACAACUGAAAAUAUAGUUAUAAUAAAGAUGAUGGUGAGAUAUUGUGAAGAAUGUAUCAAGUAACUAAGUAAAAUUGGGGACAUAUUUUCCUAUGGCAAAGUAACAACGUUUUAGAAGAUGUAUUCAGUUUGUUGAUUAAAAUACUAUGCCUUUCUAGAACGAUUAUUCUCCUUCGUCAAUCAAGCCACACCUUUACCCGUUACCUUCAACAAAGUAUGGGAAAUAUAUAUCUGAAUAUCCCAUUCAUAAGCCUAGUCGAAACACCGAUAUACCCCUUUUUAAUUUCUGGCGCAUACUGAUUUUUCCAUUUAUGUAGGAUACUUUCAUAAUGCAAUAAGGGGAGCAGACUGCGUUGAAACCUGCAGUUAUAUAUGUUCCUAAUUAUGCACACUUCUAUGGAGAAACAACUCUAAUUGAAAUCAUUCACCUGCAAUAUAUCACAUAUGUAUCAAUACAUUGACAAUCAUUUUCUGAUUAACCAAGUGUGAUGAAUGAUGAAUGUACAAAACUACAAUAAUGAAUUCUCAAUAUUGUAAGGUGAAAUUAAAAGAGCCUACCGCUAAACUUGUUCUGCAAUAAUGUGAUUCGAAUAAAAUGUGUUAGAAAGAUUACCGGAGGGACUAAAUUAAUAAUUUUGAAAUUAAAAAUUGAGUAUUUAUAUUUUAUAUUGUCAUUUAAUCAUAAAUUAUCAGAAUUAUUUUAAGAUACUUAUUUUAAAAAUUAAUAAAUUUAAUGAUGGAUGGUAACUUAAUGACUAUGUAAUUUGAUGCAUAAUCCUUUUUUUCUUAAAAAUUAGGAGAAAUUAAGAGAAUAAUAACCAAGGGAGAGUUAUCUGGUUGGUUGAGAGACUAAUUGAAUGAAAAUGAAACAUGCAUAUUAGUUAGGCAAAGUUUUUUUUUAUAGUCAUACAAUGUCAAAUCAGAAGAAAAACACCCAGAAUAAUAUUGCAACUUCAACACAAAAUAAAUAAAGAAAUAAAUAACAUUACAACAAAUCUUUCCACCGUCGAUCUGCAUUUACACACCUGGAAUUUCUUAUUAACAAAAAAAUUGUACGAGCUUUCAAAUUAAACUCGAUCACGAAUCCAUUUACUGCUGUCUGCUGCCUGCAGUAGCAUAAAAAAAAAAUAUCUGGUACAGGGAGAGCACUAGUGGAAUUGAUCAAAGUUAGAAAAACUUCAGAUGGUGAAAAAAUUAAGCAAGGCAAAAGGAGUACAUACGUGUUAUAUUAUUGGUUAAAACAAUUGAUAUAUAUAGUCCUACGGGCAUAGAAAGUAAUUAUACCAAGUCAAUUUUUUUUUUCAAGCCACGAUGAGAAUUUUCUACAGUAUUAUUAUAAUUCGUCAAGUAUGUUAGUUAGCCUAUGGAGAAAAGGAUGUCGUAUAUAAGUUGAAUCAGUUCUCACCGACGAUACAUAAAAUAACCAUAAAGACAAGAUUAUGUUUUAACCAAUAAUAUGGCGAUUAGGAAUAAAGAACCAAAGCUAAUAAUAAAGAUAAGACAUUUUAAAGAAUUCGGGCAAGUUUUACAUUUGACUUUAUCAGCAAUUUCACACUUAAGGCUCUCGCGAUCAUAAUGCCAGUUAUCCACAAAAAGGCAAAGGAAAUAAUCAGAAUUGUCUAUACUAAACAUGACGCGCUUGAAAAUUAUUUGUUUAAACCUAACAAAAACUCAUUCAGCCGUACCAUCACCAACUCUCUUCUUGACUUUGUUAACAGCCCCCGUGUUGUGGAAAAUACGAAAUCGUUUAUUGGAAAACCACAACAUCAAGUUGAAAUGUUAAAAUAAUGUAAUCAUAUUUUGAAACUUUAAGCCAGACUGUCACCUAACAAAGAUAUCUUAUCGAUCAGCCAUCAUUGAAGGCAAACACUAUAUAAAGGCUUGCAAUCCAUACUUUGCCAAGCAAGAAACUAAUAGAUCAUAAUAAGUCUUCUAAAGGACGAGAGAACAAGGGCUGCAAACUCAGAUAGAGAAGAUGGGGAAACAGGCAAUGGCCUCCAUUGGUCAUUGCAUUAACAUUUUGUCUAAUGGCUAUCAGUGUUGGCGCUGAUGAUAAGCCUUACUAUGGCCAACCAUCCAACUACUAUCCACACCCCACACCAACACCAUAUCACCAAGCAAACGGUCCACCUUACUAUUACAACUCACCUCCAUAUUACUACAAAUCUCCACCUCCACCCUCUCCAUCACCACCACCUCCUUAUAUCUACCACUCACCUCCACCAUAUUAUUACAAGUCGCCACCUCCUCCAUAUUAUUAUAAGUCAUCACUACAUCCAUCAUCUUCGCCUCCUCCAUCCUAUAUUUACAAGUCUCCACCUCCACCAUCUCCUUCACCACCUCCUCCAUAUGUUUAUAACUCUCCUCCUCCUCCAUCACCUUCACCACCUCCACCUUACGUCUACAAGUCACCACCCCUACCAUUACUUUCACCACCUCCACCAUAUGUUUACAAGUCCCCCUGACACCAUCUUCAUCUCCAUCACCUCCGUAUGUUUAUAAAUCCCCUCUUCCACCAUCUCCCUCACCUCUCCCUCCAUAUGUCUACAAAUCUUCAUGCUAACUCGUUGACAAGUGCACUAGUUUUUACAAGUAGUAAAAUACUCGAAAGUCUAAAUGUCGAAAUCACAUGAACUUUGUUUGUAUUUAGAUUGAUACAAACCCAAUUUGCAAGGCAGAGAUAAGAAAUUUAAAAUAAAAAUGAGAAAUAAGAUACAAAUUUAAAGAUAAAAAUAAAAGAUUGAAAAAAGAUUUAGAUUAAAAGAUGAUAAGGAUAAAGAUAAAAAAAGAUAAGAUAAGAAAAGUAAAAGAUGAAAAAAAAACAAAAGAUUAAGAUGAAGAUAAAAAAAGAUAAAUUCAGAAUGUGAUAAUGUUGUGACCUAGCCGAUCUUAUUUGUCUAAUAUGUACUAUUUUAGAUUUUUUUCUAUCAAUUUGGUGAAUUUUUUCCUACCCAAAAUUGUUAGAAUACUUGUCCCUGAUGUCUAUUUAUAUCCUAAAUGGAUUUGCAAAGACUAAUGUAUGAAGUUCUAAUUCUAGAUGUUUGUUUUGAUGCAUGAGCAUAAUGCAAUCACUUUGUCCCUGAAGAUUUUUGACGUCUGGCCUAAGUUCACUUCACCACCUCCUUAUUACUAUAAGUCACCACCACCUCCAUCACCUUCACCGCCUCCUCCAUAAUAAUAGAAAUCCCCACCUCCAUCAUCACAUUCGCCUCCUCCACCAUAUCACCCCACCUCUAUAACUCACCCUCACCUCCUGUGUAUUAUGCUUGUGGCUAGAUCAAUUUAAAUUUUUUAAUAAAUUAUGUUCAUCAUUGUUGAGUUUAAUUUAAUUAUAAUUACAAAAAUUUAUUCAGAAUAAGGUCUACUCUGAAGUAAGCCUUAUUUUGGCUGUAGUGUAGCCCAUGAGUGUGUAUUGGUGUUAACUCAAAAGUGCGUAUUAAUCUCUUUUUCAUAUAUACAUUAUAUAUUAUAUUUCCUUUUUAGUUGGUGCUGGUUUCCAUUUUCUUUGCGUUAUGAAAUUACAUGUUUCAAUUUUAUUAUCUUUUCUUCAAUGAACUAAAAGUUAAUAUUACUAUUUUUGAGCUAUACGAUUCAGUAUUAUCCAAAUAUGAUACGCUUUAUGAUCUUAUCUGUGUUAUAUUUGAAUCGCUCCCAUCCCAUUAUUCACGAUUCGGAUUUCGGAGGGAAAGUGUGAACGUAUAGGGAAGUAAUAUGCAUAUGGGCCACGAUGGCUUCACUCAGAAUUCAGAACAGUUUUCUUCCGCGCGAUUAGAAAGUCUUCACAAGUGAGCUGGCUAUCUACACAGCAUGGAGCAACCACCAAGCAAACUUUAAACAUACAGAAGAAUAAGAAUAUGUAGACUGUAGUCUCCCUAUAUGUAUGCUUCUCACUUACAAAGUCAUUAAGUAUCAUUUUAGUCAACAAUGGUCAAAUUUAUAAGGAUGAAACUUAUCUCACAAUAAUAUGCGUUCGAACUUCGAACCUCAUUGUUGAUAUGAGAAUUAUUGAUAAAUAAUCUAUAAAUAUUUUUAUAAACAAACUCAUUAAAGUAUGAUGUAUGUCCUGAUUUAAUGUAUGUUCGAAAUUCAAUUCACCUAAAUUUUUUACUAUAAAAAAACAUCACUUUAAUAAUAAAAAACUAUCGAGUAGCAAAAUGAAAGAUAACUUAAACAACCUGCCUAUGUCUAAUUAAAGUGAACAAUAUGAUAAAAGUAUUAUUUUGGCCAAUGAGAAAGGAGAAGUUAACAUGUGAAACCAAAAGAAAUUCCAACUUGCACUAAUAGCCUUAGGAAUAGUUCAUCACAAAAAAAAAAAAUAUGGAUGAUUUUCUGACCAAGCCGAAAAGAAAAAUAUAUGCAUAUAUGAGUGGAAAGAAAAAAUAUUUUAAAAGUUAGAACGCAGUGGGAGAAAAAUAUUUUAUAAUUUGUUGAGAAUAGUCUCACAUCUGAUAUUUAACAAAUUUGAUAAGUGCUUAUAUGACUGGGUAGGACCCUUUAUGAACCGAUUUUUAAGGGGACCUUUCGAAUGUCUUUAUUGCACUAUAAAUUUAAUAUAAUUUUCCUGUGUUUCAGAAAAAUUAUUUAAGAUCUUUUAACAUUUUCAGCGUGUAAAAUAUGUUUAUAUAGUUAUUUAAAGAAUGUCUGACAUAAUCAACAAAUAUUCUAAUUGACGGAGUAGUCCCUUAAGUUGAUGUCAACUAAAAACUUAAGAUAUACUCUUGGAUAGUAGUUAUUUAGCAAAGAGUAUAACCGACGUGGGAGAAAUAAUAAUUAAAGAAGAUGGAGGUGAGAUAUCGAUAAUGUUGCAAUUAAGUAAUAAUUAACUUGGUAAAAUUAAUGGGGAUAAAAAUUACUAUGACAAGUAACAGCGUAUAGAAGACAUAUAUGUUGAUUAAAAUAUAUGCCUUCUAAAUUCUAAUUAGGACGAUUAUUCUUCCCCAUUAGGCAAUACUAUUAAUUACCUUAUUUUAAGUUUUAAGUAAGAAAAAUAUCUGAAUAUAUUAAUCUACUUUUUUAUUUUCUGGUGCAUACAUACUGGUAGAUCUUUCCGUAGUUUAUGUAGGAUACUUUUGUACAUUUUUACGACUGGAAGCUUGCACCAUAUAUAAUUAAGUAACUCUUGAUCCGAAGUUUAUUGCCAGAGACGGUUAAUUUUUAUCCAGUUAUUUCAAACUUGGAAAGACAUAAAAGUAAAUGGAAGAUGCAUUGCCCCUUCCCACAUAAUUUCAUUUCGUGUUCAAACCCGUGGCACAAUAUUGCUGCUAUAUAUAUAAUUAACCCAAGCAGCGAUAGGUUGAUCUUUGAUAAAACCCUAAGGCUACCUAGUAUAGUUUUAAUUUUCUGCUAAUAUAAUUUCACGUCCCUUCCAAUUUUCUCGUUAGGCUAGAAACAUGUGAAAAUUAAAGGAAAAAUUUAACCAUUCUAUCCAUCUCAUAAUGUUAUAUAUAUAAGUGGAGCAAUUUUUGCGUUGAGGUCAUGUGCAGUUCAAUGACAAGUAUAAAUCUAUCCCAUUCUUAUUGAUCUGCGCCUAACCAAACUUCUAUGGAGAAACAACUGUAAUUAACAUCAACCCUGGAAGAUAUCAUAUGUAUCAAUAUAUACCUAUAUAGGACAAUCAAUUUCCAAUUAACAAAUAUAGUGUCAUGAAUUGAUAAUAAUGAAAUCUAGAUGUAACGUAAGGUGAAAAUUAAAGAAGUCAUGUCCGCUGAAAUUGGAAUGCACUAAUGUAAUAUGAAUUAAAUGGGCAGUAAUAGAAAAUUACAAGCAUGGUUAAUUUAAUGAAUUUGAUAAAAUUGGGAGAGAAAAAAAUAACAAAAAGGAGGUUAUCAGGUAGUUAAAGAGACUAAUCAAAUUAAAGAGAGACAUGAAUUCAACAAGCAAGCAACGACGUGCUGAUCGAAGUAUUUUUAUAGUCUUUUUGUAUCAAUCAAAUCAAAUACAAUACAUUGCACAAUACAUAUUAAAUAAUAUUUUUUUUAGGAGAAUAUUGAAUAGUAUUACACGUUCAACAUAAAAAUAAAGAAAUAAAUAACAUUACAACAUGUCUUUCCACAAUCAAUCUACAUUUCGACACCAAGAAUUUUUUAUUUACAAAAUAUUACACGAGCUUUCAAACACGCAAAAAUCCAUUUACUGCUCUAUAGCUAGCAUAAAAAAGAUUAGUUGCAGGGUGGAAUUGAUCAAAGAGUCUAUUAGAACAAACUUCUCUGGUGGCCUAAAAAAGGCAAAACGUAUACACACGUGAUAUUGAUUAAAACAAUUAACGUAGGUGUACUCGCAUAGAAAGUAAUUAUAUAUACCAUGUCAAAAAUUAAAAUUAUGAAGUCACAAGAACGAGAAUUUUCUAGAGUGUUAUCAAGAUUAUGUUAGUUUAGACUAUUGACAAGGAUGCCUUAUAACCUGAAGAAGUUUUCACCGACGACAUAAGGAUAAAAUAGCUAUAAAGAUAACUUUAUGUUUUUGUAAUCUGAAAAUAUAGCCAUUAGGAAGAAAGAACAAAAGCUAAUUAUAAAGAAAAGACAUAUUAGAGAAUUGGAGCAAGUUUUGCAUUUGACUUUUAUAAGCCGUUUCACACUUUAGGCUUGCGAUCAUGAUGGCCAGUUCUCCGUGAAAUGGCAGAGGAAAUAAUCAGAUUUGACUGCUAUGACGCGGUUUUCAAUUAUUUGUUUAUAUCAAACAAGAACUCUUCAUUCAGCCAUGCCAUCCACUACUCUCUUCUUGACUUUGUAGUUUGUACCCAGCCCGCAUCGUGGAAAAUAUGAAAUCGUUUAAUGCUAAACCACAACAUAUAUCAAGUUGAAAUAAUAUAAAUAUAUUUUCAAACUUUAAGCCACUCUGUCAUCUAACAACAAUGAUAUCUUAUCGACCAUAUGAUUGAAAGCAAACACUAUAUAAAGGAUUACAAUCCAUACUUUGCAAAGCAAUAAAUUAAUAGAUCAUAGUAAGUCUUCUAAAGAACGAUCAUACAAAAGAGCUUCAUACUAAGUGAAGAUGGGAACGAGGCAAUGGCCUCGACUGAUCCUUGCAUUGGCAUUUUGCCUAAUAGCUAUGAGUGUUGGUGCUGAUUAUAAGCCUUACUAUGGCCAACCGUCUAACUACUAUCCACGCCCCCCACCACCACCAUAUCAGCAAGUAAAUCCACCCUACUAUCACAAGUCACCUCCAUAUUAUUAUAAAUCUCCACCUCCACCCUCUCCAUCACCACCACCUCCUUAUGUCUACAAAUUCCCUCCAUACCAUUACAAGUCUCCUCCACCACCAUCUUCUUCACCUCCUCCACCCUAUGUCUAUAAAUCACCACCACCCCCACCCCCUUCACCACCUCCUCCAUAUGUUUAUAAGUCUCCCCCUCCACCUUCUCCAUCACCUCCUCCUGCCUAUGUUUACAAGUCCCCACCUCCACCUUCUCCUUCACCUCCUCCACCAUAUGUGUAUAUGUCUCCUCCUCCUCUUUCCCCUUCUCCUCUCCCACCAUAUGUUUACAAGUCUCCUCCCCCGCCAUCACCUUCACCACCUCCACCUUAUGCUUACAAGUCUCCACCACCCCCAUCACCUUCACCACCUCCACCUUAUAUUUACAAGUCACCACCCCCACCAUCUCCAUCUCCACCACCUCCAUAUAUUUAUAAGUCACCACCUCCACCGUCCCCUUCUCCUCCUCCACCUCCUUCUCCAUCCCCACCACCUCCAUCUCCAUCACCUCCUCCACCAUAUGUUUACAAGUCUCCACCACCCCCAUCACCUUCACCACCUCCACCUUAUAUUUACAAGUCACCACCUCCACCAUCUCCAUCUCCACCACCUCCAUACGUUUACAAGUCUCCACCACCACCNNNNNN
rnacentral:lncRNA from 1 species